AUUGAACGCUGGCGGCAGGCCUAACCCAUGCAAGUCGAGCGGAGCGGCGGACGGGUGAGUAUUUCCUAGGAAUCUGCCUGGUAGUGGGGGAUAACGUCCGGAAACGGGCGCUAAUACCGCAUACUAUCAGAUGAGCCUCGGGCGGAUUGACUAGGUGGAGGGGGAAAGGCCUACCAAGGCGACGAUCCGUAACUGCUCUGAGAGGAUGAGCAGUCACACUGGAACUGAGACACGGUCCAGACUCCUAAGGGAGGCAGCAGUGGGGAAUAUUGGACAAUGGGCGAAAGCCGGAUCCAGCCAUGCCGCGUGUGUGAAGAAGGUCUUCGGGUUGUAAAGUACUUUCAGUCGGGAGGCGUUACCGACAGAAGAAGCACCGGCUAACUCCGUGCCAGCCGCCGCGGUAAUUC
rnacentral:rRNA from 1 species